GUUCUUAUAGUUGAAUCACAACGGUGGCUUUUCAUGUCAUUGGUCCAGGUUAAAAUCCUGGUAGGAAUU
rnacentral:tRNA from 1 species